rnacentral:rRNA from 1 species
UACGAAGGGGGCUAGCGUUGCUCGGAAUUACUGGGCGUAAAGCGCACGUAGGCGGAUUGUUAAGUCGGGGGUGAAAUCCUGGAGCUCAACUCCAGAACUGCCUUCGAUACUGGCGAUCUCGAGUUCGGGAGAGGUGAGUGGAACUGCGAGUGUAGAGGUGAAAUUCGUAGAUAUUCGCAAGAACACCAGUGGCGAAGGCGGCAUCCUGGACCGGCAUUGACGCUGAGGAGCGAAAGCCAGGGGAGCCAAAGCGGGAUUA